GGUUUUCAAACCCUUUACAUGUAUAGACCAGUACUGAUGCACGGAGGAGAAUCGAUACUGCCAUAGACCAGUGGGUGAUUUCACCCACCUCCAAAACUGCAGCUAUUCCUAGGAGUCGAAUUUAGGAGAUGUCAAUUAAGCAGAUAAUACCGACAACUUCUCACCUAUUUGUUUACAACAGAUCUCAUUUGUUUCAAGAGCAGCCAAAAUAAAUGGCUCAGCUCUGCCAUCCUCUGGUCCUUUGAAGUAUUCAAGAGUCCAUUCUUGACAAAUGCUAUAGGGAGUGACCAAGGAUAGACACAAUUGAAAGGAAAAUGUGUCUAUUAGAGAGAUACCUUGAACUUAACUCUAUUUUUAUUUUGUCUUCAAAAACAAAAGGUAAUUUGAUCCAAAUUACUUCUUUUUCUAAGCGGUCAUUAAAUUAAAAAAAAAGGGGGACUCCUCUAGGAAGUUCACCAGUAUCUUUCAUAGGCUAUUUUUUCAAACUAGGGAGAAAAUAAAUAUGACAGGAGACAGUUCUUUUCAUUAGAAGUAAGCACUUUUAUGAGCAUCAUUAAAAAGAGAUGAGAUGGUGUUUUGUGAGGCUUCAUAUUAGAUUGCAGAAGAGAUCGGUGGCCCAGCUAAGCCAGUACCAUCACUGGUAAGAGCCAUGAAAAUUAGAUUUCUUAGUUAACUGCAACACUGAAAUUGAAGGGAGCUGAGUUAUCAGCAUGUCUGCAGUAACUGAAGUUGGAGAGCCGCGGGUACAAUCUGUAUCAGCUUUGGGACUGGGCUGGAGAUCUGAGAUGUCCAGAUAUCCCCCCCAUCUGGCUGGAAGCCCAGCCCAGGGACAAUCAACACCACUGUGAAAGCUACCAGACUUAUUCAAUGAGCACCUUCUACACAUUUAAAAGGCUGCCCUCCAAGCCAGCUCUGAAGAGCCAGGCAAGUAUCAGGUUUCCUCUGUGAGCUAUGAUUCUCAGAUUGACUGCAAGGCUUGCACUUUGAGGGGCUGGUAAGGUCUGUUGAGAAAGGAUGAGUGGAUCACUACCCCCUGAUUAAUAAAACCAACCAGACCAAAAAUUCUAGAAGCAGGAUAUUCUUAAAAUAUAACUUUUCUUCUUCCACUAAGACCCUUCUCUCAGAAACCAAUUCCUGAAAUAUGAAUGAAGAACCCUCCUAUUUCCCUACAGCUCUAGGAACCAGAAGCUUAUCCUGACCAGAGGAAGGAGUAAAAGAAUACACUUUGUUUUGAUUGAGCUGGGCUGCUCUUAAUUACUUGUAACACUGUAAGGAAAAGCAUAUGUUGCAAAGGCUUCAGUCUCAGAGUAUGAUGAAAUCCCUAUAGACAGGAGGAACUUCUGUAGACAGGUUGAAAUCCCUAUAAUAAUGAGGAAUU
rnacentral:lncRNA from 1 species